AAGAAGCAUCAAUAGAUUGUUGAUAAACGUCCAAAAGUUGAUUCAAUUCGGUUCACUGGUUUCCGAGAUAUGACAGUUCAAAAAUAAGCUGUCUAAAAAAUAGUGUUUUACGAGAACGAUUCUAGCUUCGCGAAAGAUUAACCAAUCGUGCUCAAAAUUGUACCAAUAAUGCACAGUAGGUAAACAAACAGUCAAAAUUUUAGAAUUUUUGAUGCACUCUACGAAAAGUUACAGCAUUUUGAGCUUUUUUGUGAGAGAAAAA